UAUGGGCGAAAAUUGAGUUUCUAACAAAUCAACUGUCAAAAACUGAGAUCAACUGCGGCCACUCUCCCUUGAAAGAGCCCUAGAACAGCUUAAGCAGCCGUGUUUUGCAUUUCUCAGGCAAGUGGAAUUCUCUUCUUCAACUUUAAACAUAUAUAUAAGGUGCUGUAUCUAUAAUAAAUAUGGCUGCAUUUGUACGCCAAAAAUCCAUCUCUCUGUUAUUGAAGAAACUUUCAUCUCCCUGCAAAUCCAUCUUUGAUUUCUCAAUCUCUCCCCGUUUGUAUAAUUCCACUACAGAAUCGUCUAGUGCAACGCAACCCGUAAUCGAUUCGGAUUUAGCAAAUCUAAACAAAACCGAAAAAUCCGAUCUUGUUAUUUCAUUCUUCAAAGAAGGUGGGUUUUCGAGCACCCAAUUGGGGAAAAUCGUGAAAUACAAACCCUCUUUGGUAUCAGCUAAUCUCGAGAAAUCAAUCAAGCCCAAAAUCAAGAUUUUCCAGGACUUGGGGUUUUCGGGCAACGACAUUGCCGAUAUAGCGUCGCAUAACCCGUCGAUUUUGUUUCGGAGCGCGAACAAUAUCCUCAUCCCCUCGUUAUCCGUGCUCAGGGGUUUGUUGGGAUCCAACGAGGAGGUGGCGAAGCUUCUAAAGAAAUCGGGGUGGUUUUUGGUGAAAGAUUUGGAGAAGACGUUACUGCCGAAUGUCGAUUUCUUGAAGAGCUGUUGUGUAACCAUGGAACAGAUUAUUCGGACGGUGAACUCGUUCCCGAGGUUUCUAUUACAGAAUCCCGAAAAUAUAAGAAAAUGUGCAAAUAAGGCCGAGGAAAUGGGCGUCAAAAGGGGUUCGAAAAUGUUCAUUCACGCGGUUCGGACAGUUGCUUCGAUGAGCGACGAGACGUGGGAAAUGAAGUUGCAGGCUUUUCGGGAUCUCGGGUUUUCGGAAGACGACAUUUUGAGGGCUUUUAGGAAGUCGGUUCCGGCUUUUGCUGUUUCUGUGGAGAAGAUGAAUAAGGUUAAAGAGGUUGUCGUUUCUAGCGGGAAGUACGACAUGGCGUGUAUUAUCAGCCACCCGAUAUCGUUUAUAUGCAGCGUUGAAAAGAGGUAUAAACCGAGGCUGCAAGUUUUAAGGAUUUUGGAAAGUAAGAAUUUGAUUACAAAGUGGCCAAGCUUUAGUACAAUGUACAGCAUAUCAGACAAGCAGUUUUUCGACAAAUUUGUCGGCCCUUAUCAACAUCAAGUUGGCCAUGUAUCGAUGCCAAAGUGUGCUACCCGUGGCAAAAAAAUGAGGUUAAAUGAAUCUUGAUUAUGAAAUUAAUUUUAUUAUUUUAACUUUAGAUUACCGAAGCCUAGAGUAUUUAUACUAUUUUGUAUUCUUGAUGCUAAACUUAGUUGUUUUGUACGAUUCUUGGAAGGUUUUAGUAUUGAUGUUUUGUAACUGGCUUAUCAAUCGUGUAGCGAGGAAUUUUACAUCGGUGACUAGCCGUCUCUAAUAGAAUUGCAUAUGCGACGAACAUCUUUUAGUAUCUCCAAAGAUCGAUUUUUUACUUAUCAUUUUCAUCUAUGAUAUGAAAAACUUAGAUAAUGUUUGGAUU